AGUGCUAAACCUCAGGGCGAUUCCUGUGGUGGACCUUUUGGAAUAGCUGGCAGUUGUGCAUCUGGCCUUCGUUGCCUCAGAUCGUGUGGGUGCACUACAGUUUCCAACAAAGAGUGUAUAUUCCCGUUCUCGUACCGGGGCGCCACCUACUCCA
rnacentral:lncRNA from 1 species